UGGGGAAUAUUGCACAAUGGGCGCAAGCCUGAUGCAGCCAUGCCGCGUGUGUGAAGAAGGCCUUCGGUUGUAAAGCACUUUCAGCGAGGAGGAAGGUGGUGAGCUUAAUACGCUCAUCAAUUAACGUUACUCGCAGAAGAAGCACCGGCUAACUCCGUGCCAGCAGCCGCGGUAAUACGGAGGGUGCAAGCGUUAAUCGGAAUUACUGGGCGUAAAGCGCACGCAGGCGGUUUGUUAAGUCAGAUGUGAAAUCCCCGGGCUCAACCUGGGAACUGCAUUUGAAACUGGCAAGCUAGAGUCUCGUAGAGGGGGGUAGAAUUCCAGGUGUAGCGGUGAAAUGCGUAGAGAUCUGGAGGAAUACCGGUGGCGAAGGCGGCCCCCUGGACGAAGACUGACGCUCAGGUGCGAAA
rnacentral:rRNA from 1 species